rnacentral:rRNA from 1 species
UACGGGGGGGGCAAGCGUUGUUCGGAAUUACUGGGCGUAAAGGGCUCGUAGGGGGCCACCUAAGUCAGACGUGAAGUCCCUCGGCUUAACCGGGGAACUGCGUCUGAUACUGAUUGGCUUGAGUGUGGGAGAGGGAUGCGGAAUUCCAGGUGUAGCGGUGAAAUGCGUAGAUAUCUGGAGGAACACCGGUGGCGAAGGCGCCUGUCUGGCCCAAUACUGACGCUGAGGCGCGAAAGCUAGGGGAGCAAACGGG